UGGGGAAUUUUGCACAAUGGGGGAAACCCUGAUGCAGCGACGCCGCGUGAUUUAGAAGGCCUUCGGGUUGUAAAAAUCUUUUCUAUGGGAAGAAAAUGACAGUACCAUAGGAAUAAGGACCGGCUAAUUACGUGCCAGCAGCCGCGGUAAUACGUAAGGUCCGAGCGUUGUCCGGAAUCAUUGGGCGUAAAGGGUACGUAGGCGGGUAAGCAAGUUAGAAGUGAAAUCCUAUAGCUCAACUAUAGUAAGCUUUUAAAACUGCUCAUCUUGAGGUAUGGAAGGGAAAGUGGAAUUCCUAGUGUAGCGGAGAAAUGCGCAGAUAUUAGGAGGUAUACCGGUGGCGAAGGCGACUUUCUGGCCAUAACCUGACGCUGAGGUACGAAAGCGUGGGUAGCAAACAGG
rnacentral:rRNA from 1 species